rnacentral:rRNA from 1 species
AGUGGCGAACGGGUGAGUAACACGUGGGCAACCUGCCCAAAAGAGGGGGAUAACACUUGGAAACAGGUGCUAAUACCGCAUAACCAUAGUUACCGCAUGGUAACUAUGUAAAAGGUGGCUAUACUACCGCUUUUGGAUGGGCCCGCGGCGCAUUAGCUAGUUGGUAGGGUAAAGGCUUACCAAGGCAAUGAUGCGUAGCCGAAUUGAGAGGUUGAUCGGCCACAUUGGGACUGAGACACGGCCCAAACUCCUACGGGAGGCAGCAGUAGGGAAUCUUCCACAAUGGGCGAAAGCCUGAUGGAGCAACGCCGCGUGGGUGAAGAAGGUCUUCGGAUCGUAAAACCCUGUUGUUAGAGAAGAAAGUGCGUGAGAGUAACUGUUCACGUUUCGACGGUAUCUAACCAGAAAGCCACGGCUAACUACGUGCCAGCAGCCGCGGUAAUACGUAGGUGGCAAGCGUUAUCCGGAUUUAUUGGGCGUAAAGGGAACGCAGGCGGUCUUUUAAGUCUGAUGUGAAAGCCUUCGGCUUAACCGGAGUAGUGCAUUGGAAACUGGGAGACUUGAGUGCAGAAGAGGAGAGUGGAACUCCAUGUGUAGCGGUGAAAUGCGUAGAUAUAUGGAAGAACACCAGUGGCGAAAGCGGCUCUCUGGUCUGUAACUGACGCUGAGGUUCGAAAGCGUGGGUAGCAAACAGGAUUAGAUACCCUGGUAGUCCACGCCGUAAACGAUGAAUGCUAAGUGUUGGA